rnacentral:rRNA from 1 species
CAGCAGCCGCGGUAAUGCGUAGGUGGCAAGCGUUGUCCGGAAUUAUUGGGCGUAAAGGGCUCGCAGGCGGUUUCUUAAGUCUGAUGUGAAAGCCCCCGGCUCAACCGGGGAGGGUCAUUGGAAACUGGGAAACUUGAGUGCAGAAGAGGAGAGAGGAAUUCCACGUGUAGCGGUGAAAUGCGUAGAGAUGUGGAGGAACACCAGUGGCGAAGGCGACUCUCUGGUCUGUAACUGACGCUGAGGAGCGAAAGCGUGGGGAGCGAACAGGAUUAGAUACCCGCGUAGUCCCUGUCUCUUAUAC